GAUGAACGCUAGCGGCAGGCUUAACACAUGCAAGUCGAGGGGUAUUGGUUUUCGGACCAAGAGACCGGCGCACGGGUGCGUAACGCGUAUGCAAUCUACCUUUUGCAGAGGGAUAGCCCCAGAGAAAUUUGGAUUAAUACCUCAUAGUAUAGUACUUUGGCAUCAAGGAACUAUUAAAGUCACAACGGCAAAAGAUGAGCAUGCGUCCCAUUAGCUAGUUGGUAAGGUAACGGCUUACCAAGGCUACGAUGGGUAGGGGUCCUGAGAGGGAGAUCCCCCACACUGGUACUGAGACACGGACCAGACUCCUACGGGAGGCAGCAGUGAGGAAUAUUGGACAAUGGGCGCAAGCCUGAUCCAGCCAUGCCGCGUGCAGGAUGACGGUCCUAUGGAUUGUAAACUGCUUUAUACAGGAAGAAACACUCCGACGUNUCGGAGCUUGACGGUACUGUAAGAAUAAGGAUCGGCUAACUCCGUGCCAGCAGCCGACGG
rnacentral:rRNA from 1 species